GGAGAGUUGCUCGAACGGUAAGAGGUGAGUUUGCUAAACUCAAGCCUGCAAUUUGCAGAAUAGGUUCAACUCCUAUACUCUCCA
rnacentral:tRNA from 1 species